GGAGAAAUCCCAGGCUGAGCUCCUGCAAGAUAAAUUGCACCUGUAUUCUUCACUCACUUUCCUGGCUGCAGGAUCUGCAUGCAAGGCUCCUUCCUCUCCACUGCUUUCAGCCACGAGUCUAAUUGAAAUUCUGUCUCCUUCAGUCUCCAGCUAAUGUCUCCCCAUAUGUCAGAUUAAAAAAAAAAUAAAAAAAAUUACAAGAUGCUGGGCUGUGAAAGGAACUAGGGAAUGCUUAUGUGGUUGCAAGCAGGCUGACCAUUAAAGCGACUUUAUUUCUACAGCAUUUCAGAUGCUGGGCUUGACAGUUUCAUUUCCGAAACUAUUUAUACUCACAAAAAUCCAUAGCAGCAUUUCCAUUAUUUCCUUAUAUGAUUUUUUGCCUAUAUU